GAUGAACGCUAGCUACAGGCUUAACACAUGCAAGUCGAGGGGAAACGGCAUUAAGUGCUUGCACUUUUUGGACGUCGACCGGCGCACGGGUGAGUAACGCGUAUCCCACCUUCCCAUGACUAAGGGAUAACCUGCCGAAAGGCAGACUAAUACCUUAUGGUCUUCACUGACGGCAUCAGAUGUGAAGUAAAGAUUUAUCGGUUAUGGAUGGGGAUGCGUCUGAUUAGCUUGUUGGCGGGGUAACGGCCCACCAAGGCAACGAUCAGUAGGGGUUCUGAGAGGAAGGUGCCCCAGAGUGGAACUGAGACACGGGCCAAACUCCUACGGGAGGCAGCAGUGAGGAAUAUUGGUGAAUGGGCGAGAGCCUGAACCAGCCAAGUAGCGUGCAGGAAGACGGCCCUAUGGGUGGUAAACUGCUUUUGGAUGGGGAUAAAGUCAAUCACGUGUGAUUGUUUGCAGGUACCAUACGAAUAAGGACCGGCUAAUUCCGUG
rnacentral:rRNA from 1 species